rnacentral:rRNA from 1 species
AGUGAACGCUGGCGGUAGGCCUAACACAUGCAAGUCGAACGGCAGCACAGGAGAGCUUGCUCUCUGGGUGGCGAGUGGCGGACGGGUGAGGAAUACAUCGGAAUCUACUCUGUCGUGGGGGAUAACGUAGGGAAACUGACGCUAAUACGGCAUACGACCUAGGGGUGAAAGCAGGGGACCUUCGGGCCUUGCGCGAUUGCAUGAGCCGAUGUCGGAUUAGCUAGUUGGGGGGGUAAAGGCCCACCAAGGCGACGACCCGUAGCUGGUCUGAGAGGAUGAUCAGCCACACUGGAACUGAGACACGGUCCAGACUCCUACGGGAGGCAGCAGUGGGGAAUAUUGGACAAUGGGCGCAAGCCUGAUCCAGCCAUACCGCGUGGGUGAAGAAGGCCUUCGGGUUGUAAAGCCCUUUUGUUGGGAAAGAAAUCCAGCUGGCUAAUACCCGGUUGGGAUGACGGUACCCAAAGAAUAAGCACCGGCUAACUUCGUGCCAGCCGCCGCCGUAA